CUCAGAGGGUCAAAUCGUCAAAGUCAGAGGAACACCAUCAAAUUUGGACAAAUUUCUCAAAAUGUAAACCUUGGGUCCCAUCACCUUGAAAGGCUGUGAUUGACGCUGUUGCUGCGGAACGGCCGCCUUUGGUUGUUCUGGCCCUCUGGCCGCGCACGUGGACGGUGGCGUUUGCCCGUCAGGGCGUGUGCCUUUGCGGCUGCUAGUGACCUCUGGGCGCAUGUCCUCUGGCUACGGAAGUGCUUCUUGCUGCCUUGUUGGCAGCGACGAUAGAAGAGGGUGGAAUCACCGCACCGCUGAAAGCAGGACACCUCGGCCUUGUCCACCACUUUUCUAAAUUUUCUUCUUCCACUGUCCCAUCACCUUGAGAGGCGGUUGUCGACGCUGUUGCUGAGGGACAGACGCCUAAGGUUCCCCUCGCCCUCUGUCCGCGCCCGAGGACGGUGCCCUUUGCCUGUCAGGGCGUGUGCCUUUGCGGCUGCUAGUGACCCUUGGGCGCAGGUUCUGUUUGUUGGUAGGACGAUAGAAGAGGGUGGAAUCUCACCGCAGAAAGUCUUACACUCAGAAGUAAGACUUGUAGUCUUCAACUAUCUAUGGAGAACUCUCGGACAGAUUCAGAAAAGAAAUUCCUGUUGGACAUCAACGGCGUCACUUCCUUCAAGUCCAUGCCAUCCUGAUGCUAUGCCUGUAAUAUCACUACCUCCUUGAAUCGGACGGGCAUUAAAACAUGGAGGAUGGACCAGUUGGAUCUUCUAACACUCCCAGGCACUGUCUUGUUUUUCAAAAAGGAAUUCUUUUCAAAAGUGCCGUUUUUUCCCACGCUCUGCCUUCCUAACGGUCAAGCUCUCACAUCUGCAGGUUUCUGGACUACGGCAUUGCGAUGACAAUGCCAGUAUGCGGUCCUCCAAUUUUUGCAUGAAGUCUCUUUUCUUUUUUGGUGUAGUGUGGACACAGCUCUGCAAAACCUCUACUAACUUGCAGACCACAGUCCACACCUACAGUGAGAUGUUGCAAGAAUAAAGUAAAGGUCUGUCAAACCCUCCUCAUCCAAUCCAUGCUGUUGACAGUUAUACAUCUCUGUGGUUCCCUUUGGCUUCCUUCUCAACCCAGCUUUGGUCAUUUACCUUUAAUAACACCAGACACACACACAACUCUUCCCUCUAGUUCAACGCCAUAGAAACAUUAACCUGACAUCAGAGCCGUAAAACAUUCCAGUUCCGAAAAGCCUUCGAGGACUGUGGGGUGGAUCGCUGGCAGAUGAAGAAUUGGUUUCCAGGCAAAGAGUAUUUCGCACUUUAUUGAUUUUUAACUCUCAAACUACCUCAUCUAUGUGCAAUAAUUCAGCCCUCGGCCACAGAGCCGUGUUUUUACACCUCUGUUUUUUAAGCAGGUUCAUUGGAACACGCAAGCCCCCUCACAACGACAAGGUGACAAUCCAUUGAGAGGGAGGACAAGAAUAGGGCUCUACAGUCACCUAUGUACCCACCACCAAGACACUACCCUUGGGAGGCCAUCACACUUGGACAAUGAGGGAUCGCCUAAGUAGAUUCUUCAGAGUCCUAGUCGUCUGUUCAUUGAACGUGAGAUCCUAGCCAGUCUUUCACCAUGAAGAUGCUUCUUCUGUUCUUUGCCAUUGCCUAUGUGGUUUUUCAAGUUCAAGCCAUCUCAGUGGACGACAUUGUUCCAGAUACCAUUAAGCCUGAGCAGGUGUUUCAGGAAGGGGCCAUCCUGGGCGCAUAUACCUGCAAUAACCGGAUGGGCCUCUGCCAGCGCAGACACUGGGACUGUCCCGUGGGCUACGUGUUUGUGGAAUCUUUCAACAAUUGUCCAUAUGCACAUCUGUACAAGUGCUGCGUGCCUGGAAGGCAUGGAGGAGACCCCAUACCUCAGGGAAAGAAGAAAUCACUGGAUUCAUAUAAAUAAAUAAAAAUAUUCAAAUUCAGGCAA